UACGUAGGGUGCGAGCGUUAAUCGGAAUUACUGGGCGUAAAGGGUCCGCAGGUUGUUUUGUAAGUCAGAUGUGAAAUCCCCGGGCUUAACCUGGGAACUGCGUCUGAAACUACAAGGCUAGAGUAUGGCAGAGGGGGGUGGAAUUCCGCGUGUAGCAGUGAAAUGCGUAGAUAUGUGGAGGAACACCGAUGGCGAAGGCAGCCCCCUGGGUCAAUACUGACGCUGAGGGACGAAAGCAUGGGGAGCAAACAGGAUUAGAUACCCUGGUAGUCCAUGCCCUAAACGAUGUCAACUAGUUGUCGGGCCUUUACGGGCUUGGUAACGUAGCUAACGCGUGAAGUUGACCGCCUGGGG
rnacentral:rRNA from 1 species